UCUGCUGUGCCCAAUUUACUUUAAUAGGACUCUGAAGUUUCACACAUCUAGUCUUAUGCUGUCAGUGGCAGGGAAAAGCUCAUAGCCACUUUCUGGAAGCUAUUAAGUUGCCAAAGAGGUGAACAUCCUGGCACUGUUUGUACAACUCUUGCAAGACUCGAUUCCCUUAGAUGUAUGGUAUUGGUAGAAGGUGGUGUACAAUGACCUUGAGGGAGUCACAAUAUGGACAGCUUUUUUAGCAGAAGACCUUGAGCUGACUCUGAACAUCUCUUAAAAACACCAGAGGUUGUGCAGGAGUUGAUUAAAGAUCACAUGCAGUCCGUGCCCUCCACAAGUCUACCUGAAUUCUCUCUUCUUGUAGAUUUGAAAGCAAUUAUGGUGAACUUUUCAACAGUAUCUGUCUCCAGUGCAAUUCCUUUGAACUUCACGAUUGGAUUUUGCUCCUUUUUCUUUGCAGAAAUGGAACUGAAACACAUCAGUUACCUUAUGGUAGCACCAAUCUCUACUGGUGGAGUCUACAGGCUGCAGGCAAACCUUGAAGAAGGUCUCCUAGAGCAGCAUGAAAGUACUGGAGAAUUGGUGGAUACUGAAUUCUUGGCCCACAGCUUGAACACAGAAAUUGCAAGUCUGAGAAAGCUAGUCUAGAUCUGAAAAUGCCUCCCUGCAAUACUGUGUGCUAAGAACAGAGAUUUGGCACAUAAAUUAAUUAGAAAAGAGUUCUUGUGAAGUGCUUUCUGGCUCAAAUAGUUUCUUGCGUAGAGCUGUUAACCAUAUGGUUUGCUUUUUCUUUUUUGACCUUUUUUCCUGUGCUUAUAUACUCUUACCUUUCUUACUGAACAUAAAGAGAAAAGAUACUAAUCACCACUUAUAACAGGUUGUGAUAAAUCAAUAUAUGUUUGACAGGUAGGUUUAGAAAAAUGUGUUUCUUGAACUAUUUUACAUUUUUAAUGCUCUAUACCCAUUAUCUAAGAAUGUUGAAGAUGUUUUGAGCCCAGAACUGGGAGAUCUUUCUGCUGGUGCCCUCAAGGGUACUAUGGCUGUGAAUUUACACAUCAAAUGGUGGUUGAGGUCUAAAUGAAUAAAUUUUGGCCUUGACCACUAACAGUUUUUCCUGUAGGUAGAACUACAUCAUUACAAAAUCUUGUCAUGCAAGAACCAGAAAUUGUAGUUUUAUAUCAUUAGGGAAAAAAAGGUUAAGUCUUCCACUAAACAUAAAGCAUGUGUUUUCAUGUAUUGGAAAGUACUAAAAUAGUGAAAAGUAUAAAUAUGCAUGUAUGUUUUAGGGCAAUUUUUAGAGGAAACCUUAUAUCAUCAAUGGAACCUUGAAAAGUUGCAAUCCUUUUACAGAAAAGUCCCAGGUUAUGCACAGAAAAAUAUAAGAAUUGUUCAGGAGCAAAAAAAUAGUGUUCUCUGAUACCACUGUGUAAGCUGCCAUUACACACUACAUUAUGCUUCAAGAAAUGACAGGAGUUGAAUGGAAGGAGAAAAUCGAAGGAGAUAGAGAUGGCAGACCAUAAGAAUUGUGCAUGAAAUGAAAAUUGAGUGACGGAGUUGGCUGAACAGGGAAAUAAUUUCUCCUCUUAAACUAAUACACUAAAGGAGAAAAAAAAAGAAAAAAAAAAAAAAGGAACUCUGGCUGAGGGCCAUGAGGCUUUUCAGGCAGCACAGCUCCUAUCACCUCUUCUAUACUUAUCUCAAUCCAGAUUUUAAAUAUCCAGCGUAAAAUGAAAUGUUUUAAAAUGGGGUACUAUACAUUCUAAUGCUGAGGUAAAACUAAAGGGUGGAUAUUCUUGCUGUUAUCUUGGCAGCUCUCCUUAUUACAGCUCUGACUACUUUCAUGUUAGAUGACUAUUUCAAGAAUGCAAAGCAAUGUGGAAGGGAUAAAUGGCUUGCUUUUCACAUUCAGUUGUAAGCCAAGAACUUAAGACAAAAUUUUAAGACAAAAUGUUGAAAAUUAUACACCAUCCCAAAGUUGGAAGAGAGAAGAAGGAAUAUCUGGGUAUUUUUGAUUCGUUAGUCAAAAGAACAAAUAAUUGCUUUAUUUUUUUAAAAGGAACGUUUUGUGGUGCAUCUUAUUCAAUUCUGCUCUUUGUUGCAUGUCAAAAUUAAAAUU